rnacentral:rRNA from 1 species
UACGGAAGGCAGCAGUGGGGAAUAUUGCACAAUGGGCGCAAGCCUGAUGCAGCCAUGCCGCGUGUAUGAAGAAGGCCUUCGGGUUGUAAAGUACUUUCAGUCGUGAGGAAGGUGUUAAGGUUAAUAACCUUAGCAAUUGACGUUAGCGACAGAAGAAGUACCGGCUAACUCCGUGCCAGCAGCCGCGGUAAUACGGAGGGUGCGAGCGUUAAUCGGAAUUACUGGGCGUAAAGGGCACGCAGGCGGUUAAUUAAGUUGGAUGUGAAAUCCCCGGGCUUAACCUGGGAAUGGCAUUCAAGACUGGUUAGCUAGAGUCUUGUAGAGGGGGGUAGAAUUCCAUGUGUAGCGGUGAAAUGCGUAGAGAUGUGGAGGAAUACCGGUGGCGAAGGCGGCCCCUGGGACAAAGACUGACGCUCAUGUGCGAAAGCGUGGGGAGCAAACAGGGAUUAGAUACC